UACGUAGGGGGCUAGCGUUGUCCGGAUUUAUUGGGCGUAAAGAGCGUGUAGGCGGCCAGGUAGGUCUGGUGUGAAAACUCGAGGCUUAACCUCGAGAUGUCAUCGGAAACCAUUUGGCUAGAGUCCGGAAGAGGAGAGUGGAAUUCCAGGUGUAGCGGUGAAAUGCGUAGAUAUCUGGAGGAACACCGGUGGCGAAGGCGGCAUCCUGGACCGGUAUUGACGCUGAUGCGCGAAAGCCAGGGGAGCAAACGGG
rnacentral:rRNA from 1 species